GACGUAGGGCGCGAGCGUUGUCCGGAUUUACUGGGCGUAAAGAGCGCGCAGGCGGUCGUUCAAGUCGCGUGUGAAAGCCCCCGGCUCAACUGGGGAGGGUCACGCGAUACUGAUCGACUCGAAGGCAGGAGAGGGUAGUGGAAUUCCCGGUGUAGUGGUGAAAUGCGUAGAUAUCGGGAGGAACACCAGUGGCGAAGGCGACUACCUGGCCUGUUCUUGACGCUGAGGCGCGAAAGCUAGGGGAGCAAACGGGG
rnacentral:rRNA from 1 species